CGUGGCCGCUGCCAGCGCCGUGGCCGUGGCCGGCUCUGCCGCAUGCAGCUCAGCCCUGGGCAGGACCCACAGCAGCCCCCAUCCCCUUCCCCUUCCCCAUCCCCAUCCCGGGCCAGCUCUGCCCCCGGGGUGGCUCUGUCCAGGGCAGGGCUUGGGCAGGACCCAGGGCAGGGCAGGCUGGGGGGUGCGCAGGCUGGGGGAUAGUGGGGUGCACAGAUUGCGGGUUGUGGGGCGCACAGGCUGUGGGGCAGUGUCUCUAGGGCAUGGCUCCUGCCCCCCCUUUCCAUCCCCAGCCCCAGGU